rnacentral:rRNA from 1 species
UACGGGGGGGGCAAGCGUUGUUCGGAAUUACUGGGCGUAAAGGGUUCGUAGGUGGCUUGCUUAGUCAGACGUGAAAUCCCUCAGCUUAACUGGGGAACUGCAUCUGAUACUGGAUGGCUUGAGUUCGGGAGAGGGAUGCGGAAUUCCUGGUGUAGCGGUGAAAUGCGCAGAUAUCAGGAGGAACACCGGUGGCGAAGGCGGUGAUCUGGGCCGACACUGACGCUGUAGAGCGAAAGCGUGGGGAGCGAACAGG